rnacentral:rRNA from 1 species
CCUACGGGAGGCAGCAGUGGGGAAUAUUGGACAAUGGGCGCAAGCCUGAUCCAGCAAUGCCGCGUGAGUGAUGAAGGCCUUAGGGUCGUAAAGCUCUUUUACCAGGGAUGAUAAUGACAGUACCUGGAGAAUAAGCUCCGGCUAACUCCGUGCCAGCAGCCGCGGUAAUACGGAGGGAGCUAGCGUUGUUCGGAAUUACUGGGCGUAAAGCGUACGUAGGCGGUUAUUCAAGUCAGAGGUGAAAGCCCGGGGCUCAACCCCGGAACGGCCUUUGAAACUAGGUAGCUAGAAUCUUGGAGAGGUCAGUGGAAUUCCGAGUGUAGAGGUGAAAUUCGUAGAUAUUCGGAAGAACACCAGUGGCGAAGGCGACUGACUGGACAAGUAUUGACGCUGAGGUACGAAAGCGUGGGGAGCAAACAGGAUUAGAUACCCUGGUAGUCCACGCCGUAAACGAUGAUAACUAGCUGUUCGGGCACUUGGUGCUUGAGUGGCGCAGCUAACGCAUUAAGUUAUCCGCCUGGGGAGUACGGUCGCAAGAUUAAAACUCAAAGGAAUUGAACGG